AGCACAUAUAUUAAUAAGAAUAAAUAUAUAAAAAAUAAAACUUAAAAUAUAUAUAUAUAAAAAGUUAACAACUUUUUUUUUAUUGAACAUUUUAAAAAUAAAGGGUUGGAUAGUAAAAUACCUAAAAGGAGAGUAAGAGAAUAGUGAGAGAUUCAGAAAGAGAGAAUCAAAGAAUCAGAAAAGAGCAUCGCGAAAAGGAAUUAGGAUUUGAAGAAGGGUGUCGCAUCGUUUUCUUGUUUUUUGUUGGUUUGAUCGAUUUGUGGCGUUUCGUGUUCGUUGUCCUCAUAUUUUCCGUGCUGAAGUCAGCGAGAGAGCUGUUGCUAAAUCUGCGAUAGAGGACUUCGAUUUCAGCUACCGAAAGGAGGAUCUACACAUACAAGAUGUCGAUAACUCGGAACCACACCGCUACAUUCGAUGGCAACAGCUCCCAUUGACCUUCUUCGGCUGGAUAUGCGACAUCUCCUCCCUUAGUUUGUUGUUGUUAGUGUUCGUCUGUCAAUUGGCUAAAUUUCCUUUUUGUGUGUGCUUCUUCUUCGGUGUUUUGUUGAUUUUGCCUUUUAUCAACUCAAUGAUAACUGUGGUGAAAGGCCUGUUGUAGUGACUUUACUUGUUUAGGGCCGUCUUCGACUGUUUAAUUAUUUGUUUUCGAUUCGAGUUUGUUUGAUUUAAUUUAUUAUAUUUUAUUGUGUUGGUUUGUUUUCUUUGAA